rnacentral:lncRNA from 1 species
GUUGUAUCUAAAAUUUUUUUUAUUAAUCUACAUCAAUAAGGAUCAAAUUCUUCUCUAAUUAAUAGUAGAAUCAGAGAUCAAAUCUCAAAUCAAUCUGAAUUAAACUUUUGUGGAGGCCUGGAAGUGCAGACCCUCUACUUCGUAUGCAUGCCAAACGCCGCAAGAAAGUAGGAUGAACUCCGAUCGAAUCACCUUCACAACCCAAUCAAAUGAGAGAGGAGAGGUACUAGUGUGACACCUCGCACUAGCAAGGAGGACACCCA